CGUGUAGGCGGUUUGGCAAGUCAGAGGUGAAAUGCCCCGGCUCAACCGGGGACCUGCCUUUGAAACUGCCGAACUUGAGGCCGUGAGGGGAGACUGGAAUUCCUAGUGUAGCGGUGAAAUGCAUAGAUAUUAGGAAGAACACCAGUGGCGAAGGCGAGUCUCUGGCACGGUUCUGACGCUGAGGCGCGAAAGCUAGGGGAGCGAACG
rnacentral:rRNA from 1 species